AACGUAGGGCGCAAGCGUUGUCCGGAAUUAUUGGGCGUAAAGAGCUCGUAGGCGGUCUGUUGCGUCCGCUGUGAAAACUCGGGGCUUAACCUCGGGCCUGCGGUGGAUACGGGCGGACUAGAGGUAGGUAGGGGAGAAUGGAAUUCCCGGUGUAGCGGUGAAAUGCGCAGAUAUCGGGAGGAACACCGGUGGCGAAGGCGGUUCUCUGGGCCUUACCUGACGCUGAGGAGCGAAAGCGUGGGGAGCGAACAGG
rnacentral:rRNA from 1 species